rnacentral:lncRNA from 1 species
GUGCUAUUUCUGCUCUUAUCAAUGUUUGCUGUGUUACGUAGUUGCAUUAUUUAUUCUUAUUUAUAUUAACUAAUUGUAUACCUAGAGAUUGAUCAGUUGAAGCUGGAAGUGGUGCUGAUCGAUUAGUGUUGGCAAAGUUACUGCCCGAGAUCCAAACAUCUUCCGAUCCGAAGUACUAAAAUGAAGCUUCUACUGAUAUUACUGAUUGCCGUGGCUUGCAUUGUGUCGCAAGUGUCCACCCUUCCGUACCGCACAACUUCGAUCAUAGAACUGGAUGAUCCGGUUGUUCGGAACUACCGAGUGAAAAGGCAAAACGAUUUCGACACUAUUGAUCGUUAUCUAUAUAACUCAUAUGGUCAAUCAAAGGGGUCAGCAUUGCCUGAAUCGACACCGGAAAAUUCUAAUGAGGAUUAGUAUAAGGCAGUAUAUGCUUCUAAAUCAAACUGAAAGUUAUUCGAGAUAGCCGAGGAAUAUGAAUGAAUCAAUUUAUGUGAAAUAAAAAAUAAUUACAUGUUUAGAUGA